rnacentral:lncRNA from 1 species
AGGGGCCCUAAGAAGCACAGGCCAUGAAACCCAACAAAUCCUGAGCUCUGACUUCAUGCUAUUGCCUUGCAAGUACUUCUUCAAGCUGCUUUGGAAAUAGGAGCAAUUAUAUUACAUGCCUUAACUCUUGAAUAAACACCCAGCUGCCAUUGAUUUACAGCUUUUCAGUUCUGCAGAAACUAUAGAACUGAAGCAGUUUCUGGAAGUUUCUAGGUCAGGACUGUCAAUCUGUAUGUUCUCUGCUUCAAAACACCAGUACCUGAAUUCUCUUUCUUGGCCACAUUUGGGAGCCAAAUAUUUUGACUGUUAAUGACAGUGCAAUACACCUGGGAGGGCAGGGCUUGGACCUGUCAAAUCUACCACAAACUAGGACUCUAGUUCCUGAGUGCAAAUUUUGUUACGGUCUCUUGGCAGAAGAUAGGUGACAAGGAUUGCUUCUACUGCUUUCAGCAAAUAUAUACAAGUUUUGACUUCGUAUCAAGUGCCCAGAUUCCUGUGUCCAGAUGCUUUCUGAACAUCUCAAAACUGCCUCAUUGCUAACAUUUCAGGUAUUACAAAUGCUCUUUAUUCCGCUAUCUUUUUAUGUAACCAAUAAUUAAGUCCUCUCUGUUUCUUUUGGGCAAUGUGUCUGAAAUUGAACAUAUCUUUUUCUAGGUUGGGAAGAUCCCCAGAGGAGGGCAUGGCAACCCACACCAGUAUCUUCCCUGGAGAAUCUCGUGGACAGAGGAGCCUGGCAAGCUACAGUCCAUGGGUUUUGCAAACAGUCAGAUACGACUGAGCGACUAACACUUUCACUUUUCCAUUCACAGGGUCGGUGUGAGGCCUUACUAACCAACACAGCCCUUCCCAGCACUGUGUCCCAUUCUUCUCUCAGCUGUGUUUUCAAACAACACAAAGAUAUAUACAGAAGUACACGUUUUGGAAUCAAGUCUGGAGUCAAAGGAUUCUCAAGGCUUUUUUUUAGUUCCUUCAAGCCCCAGGAGGAAGCAUAUUCUUUCAAGACAAAAUGGAUCAUUUCCUGUCAUUUUUUGUAAGCCUGCCACCCACCCAUGCCUUGCUCAACUCAACUUUGAGUGCUUCUGGGAUGGAAGUUCCAUGAGGGGAGAGAACAUUUAUUUAACUGCUGCAUUCACGGCAUCCAGAACUAUGUUCAGUACAUAAAAGGUGCUCAGUAAACAUGUGGGAUGAAUGAAUGAAUGAUAUGAUUUGAUCAAAGACUGAGCUAAAUCAAAUUCUUCACAUAAAACUAUGACUAUAUUAGAAAUAAGAGAGAUAAUUUUGACAAGAGAAAUUUGUGAUAGGAAGAAAAAAGACAACUCCCAUAUCUUUCUCAUUUGCUUUCAACUCUGGAUGAAUCUCAUUUUUUAUAUUUAGCAGUGUAGGCAGACCUUGGAGACCUUACAGGUUUGGUUCCAGACCCCUGCAGUAAAGUGAAUAUCACAAUAAACUGAGUCAGGUGAAUUUUUGGUUUCCCAGCGCACAUAAAAAUUAUGCUUACACUCUACUGUAGUCUACUCAGUGUG